rnacentral:rRNA from 1 species
GCGGUUAUACGAGAGGCCCGAGUUGAUGGAUAUCGGCGUAAAGAGUGGUUAAGGCAAAAUUGACACUAAAGCCGAAUGUAUACAAAGCUGUUAUACGCACUCGAAAAUAAGAAGCUCAAUCACGAAAGUAGCUUUACAUCCCCUGAACCCACGAAACCUAAGACA